ACAUGCAGAGAAGCGAGAGAUGUGAAGGUGAGAGACGACAAAAUUUGGAAGCACCACUAGUGGCACCUGCUACAGAGCAGCCUCAACGAGUGGCUACUUUUAUCGAAGACGCACCAGAUUUGCCUGUGCCACAUGCCUUAGACGAUACGAAAGGAUGCCAGCACGGCAACUUUGUGGCCACAUCUGAUAGACGUUUCCACUUGUCUGGUGGAAUUUUCGUCAUGCCUGAGCAAGCGGAAAAACUGUUCAGAAAUAAAAAGCCAAGCAUCCUUGUGAGAUACACGGCCCAGGUGAUCUGGGGCAAUCAACUAUUGGCAAAAAGAAGUGUCAGCGGCAGACUCGCACCAACAAAAAGUGGCAGCAGCGAGCAGCCAUCCAAGCAGCUGACGCCUGCAAAAGUGGAGGUUGUUUAUGGUAGGUACUUAUUGCUUAAGGUUUGUUAAAGAGUAUGCAUUUUUCCAGCUGAUCACUGUGAUCAUUUUCUUGAGAUACAUUAUUCUGAUUGUAGAUUGUCUGCGGCACUAGGGUCAGAUACACAACCAGGACAUCGGCGCUGCGGAGCGUGCUCUGCCAAGGACCCUCAGUGAAAAAAUUCAACAUGUAAAAAGAAAACUUCUCCUUCCACACUGAGAAAGUGCCAUCAAGUAUUAGAGUACCACUGUAAAUAUUUUUAAAUAUACGUACAUUCUGUUUUUGACUGCUGGAGUUUUGUCCUCUAUGCAUAUGGCUGAGUGGUUGCUCAAAACAACCAGCUAUACGCCCUUCUCCUUGGAAGAAAAGCACUGUAUGGAAGCGUGAAA
rnacentral:lncRNA from 1 species